rnacentral:lncRNA from 1 species
GUCAGUAUUGCAAUAUUUUAUGUAUUUUACAGAGCUCCUUGUACUUCAAUUGUUUGAUAGAUGGGUUUUUUUUUCAAUGAGUUUUGAAAGUGAAAGUACAAAUGUACUUUUUCCUUAAAUCUAUAUACUGUAACUUUAUAUUAUACAUAAGAUAUGCAAAUUAUGCUUAAUACAUUAUGAGAACAAGAUUCUUAUGUAAACCUACCUUCCGUGGCUAAUUCAUUUAAAUUUGGCAAGCACGUGGUGAAAGUAAUUAUAAUCCACACAAAAAAUGACAAAUGAAUUUACCGUUAUACCGGACAACAGAGAAAUACAUUAAACCACAAAUCAAAUUCGGAACACGCUUAAAUAACCCGUGAUUCUGUUUUUAUCCCCAACA